rnacentral:misc_RNA from 1 species
AAAGUCGUAACAAGGUUUCCGUAGGUGAACCUGCGGAAGGAUCAUUACCAAUCCAAAUUACAAAAACAACUGUGAACUUUGAGUGUAUUUCGGGUAUAAAGUUUAAACUCCUUUCAACUUUUAUAAAUCUUUUGUUGAAUAGUGUUAUGCUUUCAACAUUAAAGGUUUAGGUCUGAAAGGGGCUUUAUACCCGCGUUUAUUUAACCACUUGUUGUAUUUGCUUGAACAGUUUUGUUUUGUUUGACUUUCGUCAACAAAAUAAUAAAAUUACAAAAUGAAUACAACUUUUAGCGGCGGAUCUCUUGGCUCAU